UUGAAACCCCAAACAGCAGCGCUGGACGAUCUGUGCUAACACCCCCGGGGAGCCCGCCAUGCAGUUACUAGUCACGGUCAUCCUCACCCUGUGGGUCUCCUGGGCUCGUGGACAAGAAAUAGCAUGUGACCCACCAAGAAUUGCAAACAGUCACUACCUUCCUAAAAGGGCCAACUACGGACUGGAACAAGAAAUCACAUACUACUGCACAAGUGGCUUUUUCCCUUCCUCCCGGGGAAAUACUGCAAAAUGUACGGACAAAGGCUGGGAUCCUCCUCCAAGAUGUAGCUUAAAUCCCUGUGAAUUUCCAGAAAUAAAGCAUGGACUCCUAUACAAGGAAGACAAGUAUAGAUCAUACUUCCCAGCACCGAUAAAACAAUGGUUUUACUAUUCCUGUGAUGAAAACUAUGUGACUCCUACUGAAGAUUUCUGG